rnacentral:rRNA from 1 species
AUUGAACGCUGGCGGCAGGCCUAACACAUGCAAGUCGAGCGGAUGAAGGGAGCUUGCUCCUGGAUUCAGCGGCGGACGGGUGAGUAAUGCCUAGGAAUCUGCCUGGUAGUGGGGGAUAACGUCCGGAAACGGGCGCUAAUACCGCAUACGUCCUGAGGGAGAAAGUGGGGGAUCUUCGGACCUCACGCUAUCAGAUGAGCCUAGGUCGGAUUAGCUAGUUGGUGGGGUAAAGGCCUACCAAGGCGACGAUCCGUAACUGGUCUGAGAGGAUGAUCAGUCACACCGGAAGUGAGAAACCGUUCCGGAUCCUAAGGGAGGCCACAAUUGGGAAGAUUGGGAAAAGGGGGGAAGGCUGAACCAGGCAUGCCGGCUUGGUGAAGCAAGGCCUCGGGAUGGAAAACACUUUUAGGUUGGGAGAAAGGGAGGAAGGUUAAAACCUGGUUUUUUGACGUUACCAACAGAAUAAGCACCGGCUAACUUCGUG